GAACCUAAUUGUUUUGUAGCUUUUGUGAUUUCUUUUUCUGGAUCAAGCAAAAAUAACCUGACAGAAAGCUUAGUGUUUGUUCGCACUCGUUUCCUCGUGUUUGGUGAAAGAUAAUUGGCCAUUGCUGUGAUACGAAGGUCACAUAUUUGAUGACAGAAUUUAGUUGCUCAACACAUGUUGGCUAAACUAGACGGAAACACGAAGAUUAAAUAUGUGAUGCAAAGGUUUAAUUCCUCCAAUUAAUAUCUUCGGGCCCUCUUGCCU